UGGGGAAUUUUGGACAAUGGGGGCAACCCUGAUCCAGCAAUGCCGCGUGUGUGAAGAAGGCCUUCGGGUUGUAAAGCACUUUUGUCCGGGAAGAAAUCGCACCUGAUAAUACCGGGUGUGGAUGACGGUACCGGAAGAAUAAGGACCGGCUAACUACGUGCCAGCAGCCGCGGUAAUACGUAGGGUCCAAGCGUUAAUCGGAAUUACUGGGCGUAAAGCGUGCGCAGGCGGUUGUGCAAGACCGAUGUGAAAUCCCCGGGCUUAACCUGGGAAUUGCAUUGGUGACUGCACGGCUAGAGUGUGUCAGAGGGGGGUAGAAUUCCACGUGUAGCAGUGAAAUGCGUAGAGAUGUGGAGGAAUACCGAUGGCGAAGGCAGCCCCCUGGGAUAACACUGACGCUCAUGCACGAAAGCGUGGGAGCAAACAG
rnacentral:rRNA from 1 species